GACGAACGCUGGCGGCGUGCUUAACACAUGCAAGUCGAACGGUAAGGCCCUUCGGGGUACACGAGUGGCGAACGGGUGAGUAACACGUGGGUGAUCUGCCCUGCACUUCGGGAUAAGCCUGGGAAACUGGGUCUAAUACCGGAUAGGACCUUGGGAUGCAUGUCCUGGGGUGGAAAGCUUUUGCGGUGUGGGAUGGGGCCGCGGCCUAUCAGCUUGGUGGUGGGGGAAUGGCCUAACAAGGCGACGACGGGUAGCCGGCCUGAGAGGGUGACCGGCCACACUGGGACUGAGAUACGGCCCAGACUCCUACGGGAGGCAGCAGUGGGGAAUAUUGCACAAUGGGCGCAAGCCUGAUGCAGCGACGCCGCGUGAGGGAUGACGGCCUUCGGGUUGUAAACCUCUUUCAGCACCGACGAAGCGCAAGUGACGGUAGGUGCAGAAGAAGGACCGGCCAACUACGUGCCAGCCGCCGCGGUAACAC
rnacentral:rRNA from 1 species